UACAGAGGUCUCAACCGUUGUUCGGAUUCAUUGGGCGUAAAGGGUGCGUAGGCGGUCGUGCAAGUCGGAUGUGAAAUCUCAGGGCUCAACCCUGAAACUGCAUUCGAUACUGCGCGGCUAGAGUGCUGGAGGGGAGACUGGAAUUUACGGUGUAGCAGUGAAAUGCGUAGAUAUCGUAAGGAAGACCAGUGGCGAAGGCGAGUCUCUGGACAGCAACUGACGCUCAGGCACGAAAGCGUGGGGAGCAAACAGG
rnacentral:rRNA from 1 species